rnacentral:rRNA from 1 species
CACGUAGGGCGCAAGCGUUGUCCGGAAUUAUUGGGCGUAAAGAGCUCGUAGGCGGUCUGUCGCGUCGGAUGUGAAAAUCCAGGGCUCAACCCUGGACCUGCAUUCGAUACGGGCAGACUAGAGUUCGGUAGGGGAGACUGGAAUUCCUGGUGUAGCGGUGAAAUGCGCAGAUAUCGGGAAGAACACCCGUGGCGAAGGCGGUUCUCUGGGACGGUACUGACGCUGAGACGCGAAAGCGUGGGGAGCGAACAGG